GAUGAACGCUGGCGGCGUGCUUAACACAUGCAAGUCGAACGAUGAAGCUCAGCUUGCUGGGUGGGUUAGUGGCGAAAGGGUGAGUAACACGUGAGUAACCUGCCCUUAACUCUGGGAUAAGCCUGGGAAACUAGGUCUAAUACAGGAUAGGAGCGUCCACCGCAUGGGGGGGGUUGGAAAGAUUUAUCGGUUUUGGAUGGACUCGCGGCCUAUCAGCUUGUUGGUGAGGUAAUGGCUCACCAAGGCGCCGACGGGUAGCCGGCCUGAGAGGGUGACCGGCCACACUGGGACUGAGACACGGCCCAGACUCCUACGGGAGGCAGCAGUGGGGAAUAUUGCACAAUGGGCGGAAGCCUGAUGCAGCGACGCCGCGUGAGGGAUGACGGCCUUCGGGUUGUAAACCGCUUUCAGUAGUGAAGAAGCGAAAGUGACGGUACCUGCAGAAGAAGCACCGGCUAACUACGUG
rnacentral:rRNA from 1 species